UACGUAGGGUGCGAGCGUUGUCCGGAAUUAUUGGGCGUAAAGAGCUUGUAGGCGGUUUGUCGCGUCUGCCGUGAAAAUCCGAGGCUCAACCUCGGACUUGCGGUGGGUACGGGCAGACUAGAGUGUGGUAGGGGAGACUGGAAUUCCUGGUGUAGCGGUGAAAUGCGCAGAUAUCAGGAGGAACACCGGUGGCGAAGGCGGAUCUCUGGGCCAUUACUGACGCUGAGGAGCGAAAGCGUGGGGAGCGAACAGG
rnacentral:rRNA from 1 species